AACGAACGCUGGCGGCAUGCCUAACACAUGCAAGUCGAACGAGACCUUCGGGUCUAGUGGCGCACGGGUGCGUAACACGUGGGAAUUUGCCUCGGGGUAUGGAAUAAACUCAGGGAAACUUGAGCUAAUACCAUAUAAUGUCUUCGGACCAAAGAUUUAUCGCCCCUGAGAUAAGCCCGCGUAGGAUUAGCUAGUUGGUGGGGUAAAGGCUCACCCAAGGCGACGAUCCUUAGCUGGUCUGAGAGGAUGAUCAGCCACACUGGGACUGAGACACGGCCCAGACUCCUAC
rnacentral:rRNA from 1 species